GACGAACGCUGGCGGCGUGCCUAAUACAUGAAAGUCGAGCGAUGCGGCGGAUGGGAGCGUAACGCGUGGGUAACCUGCCCUUCAGUCUGGGAUACCAUUUGGAAACAGAUGCUAAUACCGGAUACUAAUGGAUGGACCCGCGAUGCAUUAGCUAGUUGGUAAGGUAACGGCUUACAAAGACGAUGAUGCAAAGCCGAGUUGAGAGACUGAUCGGCCACAUUGGGACUGAGACACGGCCCAAACUCCUACGGGAGGCAGCAGUAGGGAAUCUUCCACAAUGGACGAAAGUCUGAUGGAGCAACGCCGCGUGAGUGAAGAAGGUUUUCGGAUCGUAAAGCUCUGUUGUUGGUGAAGCGGUAAUCAACCAGAAAGUCACGGCGAACUACGUGCCAGCAGCCGCGGUAAUUC
rnacentral:rRNA from 1 species